rnacentral:lncRNA from 1 species
AGAGCAUAUCCCUUGCGCAGGAAAAUACAGGAGGCAGAGAGAGAUGUGACACUCACAGAAGAGAAGACAAUGUGAACACAAAGCAGACAGAUUUGAAGAUGUGCUAGCUUUGAAGAAUGCAGCGAUGUGACCACAAGCCAAGGAAUGCCAGCAGCCACCAGAAGCUGAAGAGGUCUGCUUCUUCCACUAGACUGAAAUUUCUUUUUUUUGAGACAGAGUUUCAUUCUUGUUGCCCAGGCCGGAGUACAGUGGCACGAUCUCUGCUCACUGCAACCUCUGCCUUCCAGGUUCAAGCGAUUCUCUUGCCUCAGCCUCCUGAGUAGCUGGGAUUGCAGGUGUGCGCCACCACAACUGGCUAAUUUUUUGUAUUUUUAGUAGAGACCGGGUUUCACCAUGUUGGCCAGGCUGGUCUCGAACUCCUGAACUCAGGUGAUCCACCUGCCUCAGCUUCCCAAAGUCCUGGGAUUACAGGCAUGAGCCACCGUGCCGGGCCUAGACUGAAUUUUCUUUGAGAACAGAGCCUGUGUCUGUUUUGUACAAAUCACAGGGCCGAGUACAGA